CACCCACGUUGCCUUAUCAGGCAGAUAUUUGAGUUUAAUUGUCAAACACAUUCUUUGCACGGGUUUUAAUUACUCAUCCUUCUUGAAUUCUUAUAAUGACAUCUGGCAAGAAAAGAGGAAACCAGAGCCAAGAAGGCAAAAAUCCUGCAAUGUUCUAACUCUACAAGAAAAAUCCACAAAAAGUUUUGCCAAAAUUCCCAGCUGAUCACCAUUACCCCAGAAAGGAAAUAUAAAUUUCACAGGACUCAAUUUAUUUGCAGCCUUCUGCUGACCUCUGCACCCUGCUGCUGCCCUUACAAAGGAUGAGAAGGGCCUGAAGCAUGGCAAAACCUCUGCCUCACCCAUCAACCCUCUGUGAGGAGCUGAAAUAUGACCAGAUCUUACAUUCUCAGACAUUAUUUUUCUAAUUUGCAUUUACUUGGGCCUAGCACCAGCUCCUGUCUGGGUCUGCAGAUUUUACCAAAUGAGUGGAAAAAGCAUGUGCUACCAAAAUCAUAACUACUCAGAUGAGUCUUUCUCAACUGUGAAUGACUAGAGAAGAACUGCAGUGUGAGGGAGAGGUCCCGAGACGUAGAAGAGAAGCUUUUCCAGCAGAAACACAUCUAGAGAAUACAACUGGGAUUGAGGAAAGGAUGGUAAAACCAGUGCAGCUGCUCUUGGCCCAUGACGGAAUGACCAUGCAACAGUGAGAAAGAUAUCUGGAGUAUCAGCAAGCAGCUGACAAGUCAGGCUCUGGCUGCAGUACCAUACUAAACACAGGUCCCUUCCUGUUCUGGACUCUGUGUCUACUGACCUCCCAGCUAGAUGCGCAGGCACUGCUCAGAAACUUUGCCCUGUACACACACAUCUGUUGUUUUGUAUGUAUGGAGGGGUUAGCCCAUGCCGCUUAGGAGGUGAAAAUGUUGAGGGGUUUGGUUAGAGUGGGACUCAGGGGUGCAGCAGUGGGCCAGGGGGGUUUUACUUUCCAUGGGCAUGGCAGCCUCUUGUGUCACAACUAUCAUAUGUGCUCCAGGGCCUUCCCAGCUUUCAAAGUCUUCCUGACUGCAGUAGGUCAGCACACCAAAUGAGGCCUUUUGAUCACUUUUCUGGCAAGGUACAGAUUGCCUAGCAGUCACUUCUAGAUGACUGCAAACCGUCUGCUGAACAAUUCUCUGUAUGUCCCUUUUCUGCUUUAUCUCAAAUGUAUCAGCCUUCCUGGAUCACACUGUUGUUUCCAAGAAUCUCAAAGGGAAGAAAGAAUGAAUUUUAGCAUGGUUGUUUCCUUCUAUGUCUAUUUCCCCCAAUUUUUUAUUUGCAGCAACUUUGAAUAAAUUCCGACUGACUAAGGAAUGACUGUUUGAUCUCCAGAGGCAAAUUCAAAUAGACACAAUCCUAGAAGAUAUGAUGCUGAUAGAAGUGUUUGCAGCAGUCAGGGGAACAGAGAUACAAGACACUGCUAAUAUAUAUAUAGUGGGAUUGCCCUUUACCUAACUAUAGGGGUUUGGGACUCCCUGGGCUAUCCGUGAUACAAUAUGGGACUACAAACCUACCCCACCUGGAGCAGCAGCUGGAAGGCAGCGCUGGAAAACAUGAAGGGAAGUGAAGUAACCUGGCAUUAUGGGCCUGUGCCAGAUUCCGCUGCAGACAAUGGAGCGAUUUCAGAGGCCACUGCGUCUGGAAGGAAGAAUGACAUCCCACAGUUGGCUCAAGUGAGUCCCCCCAUUGCUCACUGCUGAUGCAAUGCAGCAGAAAAGUCCUUGGAGUUCCCCACUGCAAUGACAGUUCUCCAGCUGGCUCCCUCUACUUGCCCUGCGACACAGACCCCUGCUCAUCAAUGCUGUUUCCCGAAGUGCUUUUGAACUGCAGGAGAAAGAAGUUAAAGGAAAUACAGAGAAGAUGGGAAGAAGGCUGGGCUCAGUGUAAAGGAGAGCUCUAAUGGGCAGGAUGACCAGGUAUCUCCAGAGGUCCUUUACAAAUCCUUCAUGUCUCCUUCUGGCCUUCCUUCCUCAGCCCUGGAGCCUUCAGAAGAGGGAGCUUUUGCCUGUGCUGCCAAGAAGCCCAUAAUCAUUUCAAUGCCCAGCUGCAGG